ensembl:snRNA U6 U6 spliceosomal RNA
GUGCCCACUUUGGCAGCAUGUAUAUUAAAGUUGGAACAAUAGAGAGAAGAUGAGUCUGGCCUCUUUGGAAGAAUGAUAUGCAAAUUUGUGAAGCAUUCCAUAUUGGG